rnacentral:rRNA from 1 species
ACCUGGUUGAUCCUGCCAGUAGUCAUAUGCUUGUCUCAAAGAUUAAGCCAUGCAUGUCUAAGUAUAAACGACUCUAUACUGUGAAACUGCGAAUGGCUCAUUAUAUCAGUUAUAGUUUAUUUGAUAGUCCCUACUACUUGGAUAACCGUAGUAAUUCUAGAGCUAAUACAUGCAUCAACUCCCAACUGCUUCGGCGGACGGGAUGUAUUUAUUAGAUGGAAACCAAUACCGAGUUUUCUCGGUUUUUGUGGUGAAUCAUAGUAACUGUGCGAAUCGACUUCGGUCGAUGGUUCAUUCAAGUUUCUGCCCUAUCAGCUUUGGAUGGUAGGGUAUUGGCCUACCAUGGCUUUAACGGGUAACGGAGAAUUGGGGUUCGAUUCCGGAGAGGGAGCCUGAGAAACGGCUACCACAUCCAAGGAAGGCAGCAGGCGCGUAAAUUAC